rnacentral:tRNA from 1 species
GGUUGUGGCUCAGUGGUAGAGCGUUCCUCGGGCAUGUGUGAGGCCCUGGAUUCGAUCCUCAGCACCA